GUGAAUCAUCAAAUUUUUGAACGCAAAUUGCGCCCUCUGGCAUUCCGGAGAGUAUGCCUGUUUGAGGGUCAGUUUAAAUAAAAAUCGAGGUGUUGCUGUUUUGUGAUCCAUCGGAAUUGGGGUAGCUUUGACCUUUUAAAAAGCUUAAGUUACCUAAAAUUGAUAACUUGUGCAUCUCAGACGUACGUAAGAAUAUUUUUUUAUCAGUCCGUAGUUGCCAACUUUUUAUUAUGUAUGAGCAUGCUGUUUGUGUCAUCGUA
rnacentral:misc_RNA from 1 species